GUGAAUCUUCCAGAAUUUUUGUGCAUUUCCAUCCUAUUUUGUUUCAAUGCUACGAAGAAAACUCUUUUUCUCGUAUAAUAAUAAUACAGGCAGUCAGGUGAUGGAGAGUAGGUGAGAGAAUCUCAAAAUAAAUCUUAGGACACAAGCUUUUACUUCUAUAAGCUAUUGUGACACAGUCAUUCUCCCAAAAACAACUGUGGUUUCUAUCAGGAAGAAAAACGCUAUCAAAACAUUGAAAAUGCCAGUGAACGUGGCAUUUAAAAGUUAUUUUUUCCCCUAACUGUUAAUUUUCACUACAAGUUGUAUCUUUUUUAUUUGAGGAUUUUUACUAUUUUAAAAUGAAAAACUGUAAUGGAAGAAUUACAGCAGAAAAGAAAGAAGGAUCAUACAUAGCUUAAUAUUUAUCCUAACUUGGUUUUCUUCCCAUGUGCCCUAAGCCACUGGCAAUUCAUAUUUUCCAAAUUUUGGGUGGAUAAUGUUUUCCCUUUGAUUUUUUUUUGUGGGUAAUGAAGGAACAUUAGCUGUUUGGCUCUUAUAUUGGAAAACUUAUAAAGUUUCCUUUGGUUAAGUGUGUCAGAACUUGUCUACGAAGAAGCAGAAGCAGUCACAAGAAGUUGAUUAAUUUUAUACCUGGACUUGCAAAGACAGGAUCAUAAGAGACAAAAGGAAGACCAUCCAGUGGGUUGUAUCUGUGUUUAGACAGACAAGCAUCUGGAUUCUUCAACUGACUGUCUCUACCACAUCCCCCAUGUGACCAGGCAAACAGAACAUUUUCUGAUUUUGCUGCACAGACAUUCUCCAAGCCCUGUUCCAGAUCCUCUUAGCGAGAUCUAUUGCAACUCGGUUCAGGAACAAGAGUUUGCUUGCCUCAAGAUCUUGUUGCUAUUGAUACUUCAUUGAUACUUGCUGCUGGAGCAAAGACAAAUCCCAGUGCUUGGCUAUCUGAGGAACUGUGGGAGGAAAUAAGCUGAGAAAACUAUGCCUUGGAAUAACAGAAGUCCACCCUAAAACACUAUUAUAUUAUAUUGGUGUAGUGGUGGAUACAUGAAUGUAUGCAUAUCUUAAAUCAAGCUCACACAAAAUGACUUAUUUUAUUGUAUGUAAAUUUUACCUCCAUAAAGUUUGUUAGAAAUGAUACUGUCAUAAAGAGGCUCACCACCUGUUCACUGUAUUGCUCUUCUAAUUUCUGUUCCUUUCCUUCAUGCGAUCCUCACCAGACUACAGUUCAACUGUCAAUUGGUUGAUCACCCGGAUUUUAUCUACACCUUAGCCUAUGGUUGUUCAUCUCGUCUCUGCCUAUGGCCCAUUGACUCCCGGAUCCCAGCUCCAUUCUUCGGUACUUUACGCACCCUGCUUCCAGUACCCCAACCAGAAGAAUAUAUAUAGCAGUUAACUGUCAGCUGGCGAAAAGGAGGAAAAUUCAGGAAGAUAAAAUAGCUGAAUGAAUUAUCCCCGCUCCAGAACGCAGAGGAAAAAUGAAAUGGCCAGACCCAGAUGUUAAAAAUGUGUUCCUUGCUCUUUCCUGCCCUAGCAAGGGCUGUUCCAUGUUUAGGGGAUGAAUGCCGCUGAGAGUAUUAGCAAAAAUACAUGUGUCAUUGAGUCUGAGGAAGAUAACUGAGACAUACAGGUAUUUCUCAUAAUGCAUGUGGGCAUCCAUAGACAUAUUCUUAAAUGGCUUAAGGACUUGGAAACUACCUCUAGGAAACCUGAAACUUGAAUGUUGGUCCACUAGGGAGAAGAAAUGUUCCAUUAGCCUUCCAACUAAAGAAAUACACUAUCAAGAAGAACAUUAGCUGUGUGUCCUAUAAGCUUGGGAGAAUAACUUACUUUUAUUUUAAUACAUAUGUUACUUUUAUGGUCAGUAUUUUGGUAAAAUAUAUGCUCUAUUAUGGCAGUAAUUUGUCUGUCUUAUUAAAUGCUAUAUCUGCAGUACCUUCUGUGCAUAACACAGCAAAGGAGCUCAAUAAAUAUCAUUUUGUUGCUGCCCUAAAAAGAGUUCCAGGAGCACUGGUGUGUAGAAGCUCUGGAAAUAAGGAAUGGUGUGAAUAAAUAAAUAGCUUACUUGGAAGCUCAGUGAAACCCAUGUUGGAUAAUUGCUGUGUUAACUAAUCCCAGAAAAGGGAGAAUUAGUAUCCUUGAGGACAGUCUUUUAGGAUGUGGUGAAGUGAUUGCUAUUUAUGGAUCAGGAUCUUGAGUUCUUGACCUGUUCCACCAUCCACAAUUCUGAUAACACUUCCUUCUUUAUGCUUCACUUUUUUCAUCCUAAAAUAAGGGAUUUGAGCAUAUGAUCUCCAAUUCUCUUCUAGCUCUAACAUUUUAUGACAAAGCUCCUUUAAAAUAAUUUAUUUUACACAGUCCUUAGAAAAUUAAGACUGAGAGGCCAGGCAUGGUAGCUCAAGCCUGUAAUCCCAGCACUUUGGGAGGCCGAGGCGGGUGGAUCACGAGAUCAGGAGAUCAAGACCAUCCUGACUAACACGGUGAAACCCCAUCUCUACUAAAAAUACAAAAAAAUUAGCCAGGCGUGGUGGCGGGCACCUGUAGUCCCAGCUACUCAGGACGCUGAGGCAGGAGAGUCGCGUGAACCCAGAAGGCGGAGCUUGCAGUGAGCCAAGAUCAUGCCACUGCACUCCAGCCUGGGCGACAGAGUGAGACUCUGUCUCAAAAAAAAAAAAGAAAAUUAAGACUGAGAAACGUAGAGUGAGUAUUAUAACUAAAUAGGUGGACAAUUAGAGUCAAAGACCAAAUUUUUGUUAAGUAUUACAAAGAUAAGAAUUCUUCACAUUUGAAUUGAACAUUUAAUAUUUUCAAAGUGCAUUUGCAUCCAUCUCCUUAUUUGAUUUUCAAAGCCACCAUGCAAAACUAUUUAAUACAUUGCACUAAGAAAUAGGUUUAUGGCAGGAGUUUACAAAGAAAAUUAGUGAUAAGACUAGGAUUCAAAUCUCCAGAAUCCUGUUUUAGUUUUUUUCCUUUUAAAUAUAUAUUAAGUUGCCUAGUAAAAUAUUUUACAAAUAUUUAUUUUGAAAAUAUAAUAGGGCAUUUCUGGGUUGGCCAAAACUAAGAUUCCAAUACAGCUAUGGGGACAGAAAUAGGCACCUUCCUUUCCAUGUACAUCUAUUCCAUUUGAUUUGAUUUAUAAGGUUGCUGAUAAGCCUUUUGGGAAAAUAACUGGGAUAGCAUCAAUAAUUGGAUCUCAAGCAUACACAGGAACUUUUAGAUAAUGAAGAAUCUAAUGAGAGCAAAAUAGAACAAAAAAAACCAGCUGAAUCUCACAGACAAUUUGCCCUAUAGGGAAAAAGCCUGGUGUGAAUUGGAUUUAGCAACAAAAGCUAAGGGAUUGAAGAGCAGUUCUGGGUUUUUUGUUGGUUUUAAACACAUUAGGUUCUAAGAAAUGUUGCUGUGGGACCCUUUAACAUAGUUUAACACAGAAGGGAGAAAACUGUUUCCUUUCUCACCUAGCAACUCACUGCUGCUGUGCUAUUACAACUUAGCAAGGAUUGAGAGCACUGGUAGCUGGAGGGGCUAGCAAGGAUCUGUACCUGGUGUAAAACAUGAACAUAGCAGAGGCCAGCAGCUGCGUGUAAGCAGAGCUCCAGCCGGCAUUUAGCUGCACCAGAGCCCAAGCAUGGCAGAGGCCAGCCACAGUUAGGAGAGUGAAUGACCUGGACUACUUAAUUAAUGCAUGCAAGACAUUCCUCUGGGAUUCUCAAAAAUCUUUAGGGAAUUGGAAUUCCUGCCUAAACAGGUGGUGACUUCUACUAGCAAAAUGUCAUACAGGAUUACAAGACAAUGAGUACUGUUUUCUGGAUUUUGGCUCCUCUUAAACCAUGCUGUUCUAGGUUGCUUUGUGGUUAGAAGUUUAUCUUAAACUGUCUGAAUAAUUCCUUUUUUUUUUUUGAGACAGGGUCUCACUCAGUCACCCAGGCUAGAGUGUGGUAGCGCAAUCUUGGCUCACAGCAACCUCAGCCUUUUGGAAUCAAGUGAUCCUCUCACCUCAGCCUCCUGAGUAGCCUCAGGCCCACUCCACCACACCUGGCUAAUUUUUGUUUUUGUUUUUUUUGGAGAGACGAAUUUUCACCAUAUUGCCCAGGCUGGUCUCCAGCUCUUCAGCUCAGGUGAACACCCACCUUGGCCUCCCAAAGUGCUGGGAUUACAGGCGUGAGCCACCAUGCCCGGCCUGCCUGAAUAAUUUCUAAGCUUAUUCUUAGUGAGUGAUCUUGAUUUCAACUAACUCCUGAAUACCAUGCAAUUAUUUUCUCAUUAUAUUGUUUUAAAAUAUUUCCAGUGAAGGCUGCUAACAUGCAAAUUAAACUUUGUCUGAAGUUGAAAUGAUACUUCACUAAGUUUCUGAAAAAUCCAACCAAUAAAUAUAAGCUAUUUUUUGUGUUUGCGGAUUUCCUUUGCUAAAUUUGUGUCUCAUUCACUUUCUAAAAAAAUGAAUUAUAUCAAAAAAGUUUACAAAUUUUGUUGACAGGUUUCUUCAGAAAAACAUCUGACUUUUCUACAUCGAGACCUUAUAUACUGUUUCUUAACAACACUUAAUUUUCUGAAAAGGCAGAAAAUGUGACUUACUAUGUGACUAUAUUUUACUGAUGGUUUUAAUUAUUACAGUGAGAGAGUGAUAAAGAACUGGGCUAACAUUUUUGCAACCAGUUGAUCUAGAUGAACAAUGCAGUUUAAUGCAAGAACAUUAAGACAUACUUCUUUCAGGUGAGCUAUAAACCUUUGUGUCUUCCAGCCACGGAAUUUGCUCCAUCAGAAGCACUGGACACCUGAUUCUCCAAUGGCACUUGUGUUGUAUUAAACAAAAACUUUAUAGUAGCAAAAAUCGAUGUUCUAGUAUAGUCAGUUUCUAAAGAACUUACAAACAUCCCUUCUUGCAAUACACAAUCAUCAUUGAGACAACAAACAAUUGCCAUUAGGAGGGUUUUAUUGUAACUUUCAUCAAUUUGAAUAGAAAUUUUUUCUUGUUUUGAAUGUGCCAAUUAACUGCUUUUAAAUGUUAACUAACAACUCAUACAUAUGUCUUUGAAUUGAAUUCUUGCUCAAUGGCAGUUCUUUCAAAAUACUGGAUUUUGCUUCAUCACUAUUGAAAUUGCAGUCUAGGCAAAUGUAUGAGCAUGACCAGGUUUUGUAAGGAUUUCUGCAACUUUUUAAGACCC
rnacentral:lncRNA from 1 species